AUUAGGCAUGCAAGGUCGAACGGUAUAAACCGUUCGGGGUUUAGAGAGUGGCGAACGGGUGAGUAACACGUAGGUAAUCUACCCUCAAAACGGGGACAACCCAGGGAAACUUGGGCUAAUACCGGAUGCGUGCAAGCAAUGUUUGGUUGUUAAUGCUAUUCACGGAAGUGAGUAGUGUUAAUGGUUGAGAGCAUUAUUUGCAUAAAAGGUGGCAUAUGCUGCCGUUUGAGGAUGAGCCUGCGUCCUAUUAGUUAGUUGGUGAGGUAAUGGCUUACCAAGGCGAUGAUAGGUAGGCGGCCUUAACGGGUGGUCGCCCACACUGGGAUUGAGAGACGGCCCAGACUCCUACGGGAGGCAGCAGUCGAGAAUAGUCUACAAUGGACGGAAGUCUGAUAGUGCGACGCCGCGUGAACGAAGAAUCCCUUCGGGGUGUAAAGUUCUUUUAUACGUGAGCAGUGUCCUUUAUAUUAAUAGUAUAAGGGGAGAGAUAUUAGCGUAUGAAUAAGCAACGGCUAACUCCGUG
rnacentral:rRNA from 1 species